rnacentral:lncRNA from 1 species
GGUAGAAUUUAAAGUUGGUUUCAAAACAAAAUAUAUUAUCUGGGCUGAUUCUGAAGGUGUUUGAUUUUAAGUUUUGGAUAUAUUUUAGAUAUUGAAGUCUAAUCUUCGAGAAAUCAAACGGUUCAUUAUUUGGACUCUCCCACGACAAGUUAUGAAUCUUUUGUUACAAGCGCGUAAAACUGAAAAUUAUACGACUAAGAUAAAAGUCGGACAAUGUAAAGCAAAAGAGAAGCUGAAAUAUUUAAGCCCUCGAAGUCUUCAAGUUCGUCGGUAUUCAAGUUGAAGUCUCCAAGUUGAAAUCUUCAAGUCCGUCGGUCUUGAAGUUGAAGUCUCUAUGUUCGCCACUCUUCAAGUUGAAAUAUUUAAGCCCUCCAAGUCUCCAAGUUGAAGUCUUCAAGUCCGUCAGUCUUCAAGUUGAAAUCUCCAAGAUGAAAUCUUCAAGUCCGUCGGUCUUCAAGUUGAAGUCUCCACGUUCGCCACUCUUCAAGUUGAAAUAUUUAAGCCCUCCAAAUCUUCAAGUUGAAGUCUUCAAGUCUGCUAAUUUUUCAAGUUGAAUUUUAAAAGUCAACCACUCUUCGAGUUGAAGUCUGCAAAGUCCGCCAAAUCUUCAAAGUUUUUCAAGUGUUCAAGUCAAUGUCGUCAAGUCGAUGUCGUCUUCGAGUUGAAGCUUUAUAACUUUUCAAUCUUAAGGUGGACAUAUAAGUCCAUUUGUACCUUAAGUUGUCCUAUUCGUGGGUUUGUCCUUAAAAGGAACUAUAAUUUUUAUUGAGAGUAAUCUCUCCGUUAGUCGGGCCACAUUGAAAGUAAUCUCUCCAAUAGUCGGGUCAUUUUGAGAAUAAUCUCUCUAGUAGUCGGGCCACAUUGAGAGUAAUCUCUCCGGUAGUCGAGCCACACUGAGAGUAAUCUCUCCGGUAGUCGGGCCACAUUGAGAGUAAUCUCUCUGAUAGUCGGGUCAUUUUUUAGAGUAAUCUCUUUGGUAGUCGAGCCACAUUAAGAGUAAUCUCUCCGGUAGUCGGGGCCAUAUUGAGAGUAAUCUCUCCGGUAGUCGAUCCACAAUGAGAGUAAUCUCUUUGAUAUUCGGGUAGAGAUGAGUACUCAUCCCCUCACACCCUAUGAUUGCCUUCUUCAUGCGUGGAUCAUCUUUUUAAACAAGAACAUAUCAUUCUUGUUUGACCUCAAAAAAAAAAAAAAAAAGACAGAAAAGGGAAAACGCAGAAAAAAGAAAAUUCACCUGUCAACGACGGUUUGGCUUGAGCACAAUGCGAAUUGAUACCGCAAUUAAAAGAGGAUGAUGCUUUAUAUAGAAAGCAAAGGUCUAUAUUGACCCAGGGUUGUUUCGAUGUGGGAUAUGUUAUUUGCAGGCAGUCUCCUAAUUGAGAUGGGUAAUGAACGAUGGUUGUGCACGUAAUCAUCGAUAUGCGGCUGGCGUAGAGUUCUCUUUUGCAUAGGAUAAGGAAUUCUACAUGCUCUUUAUUUCCAGGUAGUGACAAAUAGUGAAAAGAAAGUAUGCCGUUUGUAAACCUAUGAUAUUUUCUUGGACAAUGAAAU